UAGAGUUUGAUCAUGGCUCAGAACGAACGCUGGCGGCAGGCCUAACACAUGCAAGUCGAGCGCGCCUUCGGGUGAGCGGCGGACGGGUUAGUAACGCGUGGGAACGUGCCCUUCUCUACGGAAUAGCCUCUGGAAACGGAGAGUAAUACCGUAUACGCCCUUUGGGGGAAAGAUUUAUCGGAGAAGGAUCGGCCCGCGUUAGAUUAGGUAGUUGGUGGGGUAAUGGCCUACCAAGCCUACGAUCUAUAGCUGGUUUUAGAGGAUGAUCAGCAACACUGGGACUGAGACACGGCCCAGACUCCUACGGGAGGCAGCAGUGGGGAAUCUUAGACAAUGGGGGCAACCCUGAUCUAGCCAUGCCGCGUGAGUGAUGAAGGCCUUAGGGUCGUAAAGCUCUUUCGCCUGUGAUGAUAAUGACAGUAGCAGGUAAAGAAACCCCGGCUAACUCCGUGCCAGCAGCCGCGGUAAUACGGAGGGGGUUAGCGUUGUUCGGAAUUACUGGGCGUAAAGCGCGCGUAGGCGGAUUAGAAAGUUGGGGGUGAAAUCCCGGGGCUCAACCCCGGAACUGCCUCCAAAACUGCUAGUCUAGAGUUCGAGAGAGGUGAGUGGAAUUCCGAGUGUAGAGGUGAAAUUCGUAGAUAUUCGGA
rnacentral:rRNA from 1 species